rnacentral:tRNA from 1 species
AAGAAAGUAUGCAAGAACUGCUAAUUCAUGCCACCGAACCUAGACAUUCGGCUUUCUUA